AUACUAGAGAAUUGGCCUUGCUCAACAGUGAAACAUUGCAUAAAACUUGUUUCUAAGCUUAUAUUCUGCUUGUGUUGAGACUUAUCAACCACCAAAAACAAGAAAAAAAGUGGAUUUUAGAAAGAUACCAGUUCAAAGUUACUAGUAGUCCAAAGGAAGACUCCAAGCAACGUCCAUAUUAUGUUUGCUAACAAAGUUAGCACUACUUCCAGAUUAUUACAGUAUUGGAGCAUAUCCAAUAUAAUACUAAUGG